rnacentral:rRNA from 1 species
GACGAACGCUGGCGGCGUGCUUAACACAUGCAAGUCGAACGCAGUGGAGAACGGGUGAGUAACGCGUAAUCAACAUGCCCUUCAGAGGGGGACAACAGUUGGAAACUACUGCUAAUACCGCAUACUGAAGGAGGGGCUUGCGUCUGAUUAGAUGGUUGGAGGGGGAACGGCCCACCAAGGCGAGGAUCAUUAGCCGGUCUGAGAGGGUGAUCGGCCACAUUGGGACUGAGACACGGCCCAGAUUCCUACGGGAGGCAGCAGUGGGGAAUCUUCCGCAAUGGACGAAAGUCUGACGAGGCAACGCCGCGUGAGUGAUGACGGCUUUCGGGUUGUAAAGCUCUGUUGAUAGGGACGCGGUACCGAAAUAGAAAGCCACGGCUAACUACGUGCCAGCAGCCGCGGUAAUUC